UCAUUUAAGCAAGGAGUCAGCUACGAUAUAUGCGCUAGUGUCGUCUCGGRGAUGUUGKCCAAGCAGCUGAUUUUGACAACAACGAACUCUCAAAUCGACCUGUGUACUUUCAUUUUAGUCCUCAAUUGUAAUUUUUAUCGCUAAUUAGAAAGCGCACCUUAAUAAUUAUUAGAAACUCCUUAAGUGGCACUUAUCACGCACUAUGAGCUGAGAUUAGUGUCCGGUUCAAAGCUGCAAAAUGAGUGAACACAAUGUGGAAUUGGGGCUGUUCGGGCUCGUGGCCAACGCUGUCGGGGUGUCCGAGCCUGCCCUGAAAUUGCUGCUGGGUGUCCUGGCAGGCUACCCCUUUGCGCUGAUCUACCGAAAGUACCUGUUCAAUCAGUCGGAGAACCGGCAGUGCCUGUACUUCAUCUCCUGCGGCCUAGUUAUUGGGCUUUGGAACUAUGGAUUCGGCAUGUUUCACUGUCUUCUGGCCAUUCUUCUAACCUACUUGGCGGUUCACUUUCUGAAGGGCCUCGCCAUGGUUGCAGUGGUUUCAGCCUUCAACUUCACCUACCUGCUUGCAGGAUACUGCUACUACAGCACGGACUCCUACGACAUCACCUGGACGAUGCCCUACUGUAUUUUAGUCUUGAGGCUAAUGGGAGUGACUUUCGAUGUGUACGACGGGACGAGGCCCAAAGAGGAACUGUCGUCAGACGCCCUGAAGACGGCGCUUCCACAGCCGCCCACUCUGCUGCAAAUGUUCGGCCACAGCCUCUUCCCCAGCGCCUGCUUAGUGGGGCCCCAGUUCAGCAUGCGGCGCUUUCUGGACUUCAUCGGCGCCCAGUUCCACUCAAAGAGCCCCGAGGGCGAACUGCUGCCCCCCGAGUCGGUCAACUGGGCGCUAGUGCGGUUUUCCAUGGGCGUUUUCUACCUGGCGUUUUUCCAGCUUUUGUCCCUGUUUGUGUAUGAUGACUACAUCAUAUCCGACGAUUUUGCCAGCAUGGGGCUCAUCAAGCGGAUGAUUUGGCUGGGCGUCUGGGGCCGCUUUAUUCUCUACAAGUACAUCUCCUGUUGGCUCUUCGCCGAAGGCGCCUGCAUUCUGUUUGGGAUUUCGCAUAAUGGCGAGGAAAACGGGGUGACCCAGUGGAACGGCGUUCAGAACAUCAAGCUGUCGGUGUUUGAAAACUCCACGGAAUUCAACCACUACAUCAUGUCCUUCAACGUCAACACCAACCAAUGGGUGGCCCAGCACGUGUACAAAAGGCUGAAGUUCCUGGGCAACAAACAUUACUCUCAAGGGGGCGUGCUGCUCUUCCUGGCGGUGUGGCACGGUCUUCAUAGCGGCUACUACGUGACGUUCUGGCACGAAUUCAUGGUGAUGCUGAUGGAACGCGACCUCCAAUCGUUGAUCAAAUCGAGCCCCGCUGCGGACGCCUUCUUGAAGAACCCCAUAGUCAAAGCCCUGCUUCAAGUGGUUCUUCGUCUCUACACCUUCAUCUUCAUGGGAUGGUCCUUGCUGCCGUUCGUCUACCUGAAAUUUCCCCGCUACUGGAAGGCGUUUUCCAACUGCAGCUUUGCCGGCGUGUUCGUCUUCUACCUGUGGCCCAUCUUGUACGGGCCCUUGUUGCGGAUGAUGGCGAAAAAACGGCGCAAAACCCAAGAAUAGGCACAAUAAGCUAAGUACUGAGGUGGAGAAAAGUCUGAUUUUCAAGCGGCAACUGGACUGGUGCAAGCAGGACAUACUGGUUGCCCUGACAACCACUAUGUCUCUCUCACUUGCACGCACAGUCACCUAACGGUUCAAAGCGUUGAAUUUACUACGGGGUGUGCCCAAUACAAUUGGACUGGAGUUCUUUUGCUGUUCGGCCAGCUUAUUAUUGGAAAAAAUCGCAUGUUUUCCACACAUCGUACUUCAACAGGGAUUUUACAUUGUCUUUUUGGUAGUGGUUGUUUUAGAUGUUUGCCCAAUUGCUAGUGGUGUAUUAGUAGGUUAGAGAGAGUGGUGAGUUGAGUGUAACAGUCGCACAAAUAAAGGUUUUUAUUGUUAGAGUUGUGAA